rnacentral:rRNA from 1 species
AUUGAACGCUGGCGGCAGGCCUAACACAUGCAAGUCGAGCGGAUGAAGGGAGCUUGCUCCUGGAUUCAGCGGCGGACGGGUGAGUAAUGCCUAGGAAUCUGCCUGGUAGUGGGGGAUAACGUCCGGAAACGGGCGCUAAUACCGCAUACGUCCUGAGGGAGAAAGUGGGGGAUCUUCGGACCUCACGCUAUCAGAUGAGCCUAGGUCGGAUUAGCUAGUUGGUGGGGUAAAGGCCUACCAAGGCGACGAUCCGUAACUGGUCUGAGAGGAUGAUCAGUCACACUGGAACUGAGACACGGUCCAGACUCCUACGGGAGGCAGCAGUGGGGAAUAUUGGACAAAGGGCGAAAGCCUGAUCCAGCCAUGCCGCGUGAGUGAAGAAGGUCUUCGGAUUGUAAAGCACUUUUAGUUGGGAGGAAGGGCAGUAAGUUAAUACCUGGCUGUUUUGACGGUACCAACAGAAUAAGCACCGGCUAACUUCGUG